CGGAAACUUCGCUCAGAGAAGUAUUAACAGGCGAUUGGUGGACAGUCCUUCCACUUCGCCCACCCCCACAACCCCCUCCCCCCGCCGCACCUUCACCCACUCUGAAAAGGUCAAUCGUAUCUCGUUGUUCAGUGAUCCGGGAGGUGGAAGGCUAUUGGUUCAGGGAGCCCGUCAGACCGGACUGGAGUGAGCCGUGAUUGGUCGACAGAGGCGCAAUCAGCCAUCCAUGUAAGAUGUUACUUACUCCUCCUUGCCUUCCACCAUGAUUGUGAGGCCUCCCCAGCCAUGUGGAACUAGUCAAGAAAACUUUGCUUUUGACUUAUUUACAGCUAGUCACAAUUGAGUGAAGUAUACUCCUGUAAACAAAUUUGGAUUUCUCUCUCUCAGUCUGAUUUCUCCAGAAUGUGGAAACUAUUUAAACAGACUGCAGAUUGAAUUCCUACAUAGGCAAUUCCAGAAUUCUUACGAGACAUGCAUUAGGACAUCAGCAACAGGUAUCAUCUAGUGAACUGUUCAGAUGCAACUGAAUUGAAAAGGAGCUGAACAAAAGAUCCUGAUAGAGACUUCAACAAAAAGUAAAAUGGAUUUUAUCAUACUUGGAAAAUCAACAAUUGCAGUCUGGAUUCAUACAUCACUGUCUGAUGCACCCAACUUGAGUCAAAAAGAUGUUUCAAAUCCCACUAGGCUGGAGGCAAAAAUACUCAAGAGUUUAAGAGCGUCUCUUGACAGUGUACAGAAUAAGAUAGCUUCUCAGCUUUCAGCUUUACUUCACGGUUUUAACUAUCAAAAGAAGCGAGCCAUCUGAAGAUUUGCCUGAGACUGAAGGAUCCACUUCUGCGACGACUCCCUCAGGACUUAUAAUGCAGAUGGAACCAGAUUGAGAAAAACCAACCAACCAACCAACCAACCAACCAACCAACCAACCAACCGACAAACAUGAUGGCUGAACCAGACAAGAGAAGUCCUGAAGUAAAAUACCCAUCAAUUACCAGAAUCUGUGCCUGUCAUACAUCGAAGGUAUUGUAUCCAUGAUGGCAUGCUGCUUUUUGUGGUGUUUUGAUUGACGUCACAAUAUCCCAGCAGUUCUUCCACAGCCAUUCUGAGAUAGCAUCCAGAAAUCAAUGAAACAUCAGAAUAGGAA